rnacentral:lncRNA from 13 species
GCAGUUGAUCAUUUCUUAGGAAUAUUGAAACACAAAACCCACCUGAAAUGUGUUACUCCCUCCCUCUCCACUGUUAUUACAGUUAAAAACCUCUUAAGGAUCUGCCCCUUUUUUUCAAUUUUCACCUAAAAUGACAUACCCAAAUCUAACUGCCUGUAGCUCAGGAGCUGAAGCAAGGAUAUGCUUCAGCUCCUGAUCGCUGCAGCUGUACAUAGUCUAUUGGUAAAUAGCCCACCCAUUUUCACCUACCUCAUCCCCAUACUGUUUUUAUUUAUUUAUUUUUCUGCUCUUUUGCACACCAAUAUCUCUACCUGUACAUGACCAUCUGAUAAUUUAUCACUCCAGUGUUAAUCUGCAAAAUUGUAAUUAUUCGCCUACCUCAUGCCUUUUGCACACAUUGUAUAUAGACUCCCCCUUUGUUUUCUACUGUGUUAUUGACUUGUUAAUUGUUUACUCCAUGUGUAACUCUGUGUUGUCUGCUCAUACUGCUAUGCUUUAUCUUGGCCAGGUCGCAGUUGCAAAUGAGAACUUGUUCUCAACUAGCCUACCUGGUUAAAUAAAGGUGAAAUAAAAAAUAAAAAAAAUAAAUAAAAUUCUUGAUACCAUUUGAAAGGAAACACUGAUGUUUGUGGAAAUGUGAAAUGAAUGUGGGUGAAUAUAACACAUUAGAUUUGGUAAAAGAUAAUACAAAGAAAAAGCCAUGCGUUUUUUUGCAGUUUUUUGUACCAUCAUCUUUGAAAUGCAAGGGAAAGGUCAUAAUGUAUUAUUCCAGCCAAGGCGCAAUUUAGAUAUUUGGCCACUAGAUGGCAGCAGUGUUUGUGUAAAGUUUUAGACUGAUCCUGUCAGGUGCGUGAAUGAGGACCCAAAAGCGAAUUAACAAACAGAGUUUCUUUAAUGAUGAACACACGUGGGCUCAGAUGGACAGGUAGAUUCCGACAGGACAGGACAAGGUUGCAGCAAACACGAUGAUAGUCUGGUUCAGGCAUGAGACACACAAACAAGAAUCCGACAAAGACAGGAGCAGAAACAGAGAGAGAUAUAGGGACCUAAUCAGAGGGAAAAAGGGAACAGGGGUGAAUGAGGUAGUCAGAGAAGACAAGGAACAGCUGGGGGAAAGAGGGACAGAAACGGUAACCUAGUACGACCAGCAGAGGGAGACAGGGUGAAAGGAAAGGACAGAAAGACACAACAUGACAAUACAUGACAGAUCCAAUGAACCAUUGCAUUUAUGUUCAAACUUUUGUAUCAAGACUGCACAAAUGUGCCUAAUUGGGUUAUUUAUAAUUUUUCAAGUUCAUACCU